GUUUAUUUCCAGAAUAGAGUUGGUACAGCUGAUUUAAAUCCUCAUGACAGUUUGUACCUACUGGGGGGUAAGGGGGAGAAGAACAGUGUCAAGCUCCUCUGAAUCUCAAAGUUAUUGCCAUCAUGCUCUCAGUGAUGUUUUGCUCUUUUGAUACUUUUUAGCUAUGGAGUUGGAUUGCAAAACAAGAAGAAAGAAAACUGCAAGGAGUUCCUGCAGUCAUGACUGCGAGCAGCAGCAAUCCCAGUGUGCCCUGACCUGUAGGAAGGCUGUUGUAUGGAAGGUACCCAAGGGAGACCCUUCCCUAGAUGAGCAGAGCACCUCCAUUCCAUUUGUGUGGACUUCCCUGGUUAGUAGAGAACAUGAUCUUCAGUUCCCUGGAACAAGUGCAGGCAUGUCAUUAAAACUGAAUAUUUGAAUUAACCAAUUCUGGAACUAAAAACCUGCUGAAAAACACACAUCUCAAAUUUAAAAUGCCAAUAGCAACACUGCUGUUAUUUAUCUAUUUUUCCUAGAAUUAUUUUCCAUUUGUCAAAUGUGACAGGCUAAAGUGUGUGGCCUGGAAGAUGUCUCAAAUUUUGCCAAAUUUAAAGUGCAUGGUAAUCUCAAUAUGGCCAGAGUGGAAUCUUAUGCUAUUUCAUCCCUUUGCUCACAUGGUUUGUCACUAUUUAAUUUGGAAAACUGACUGAUCCUUUUCCUCUGAUGUCUGUUUUCACCAUCUUCAUAUCUUCAGGAAAA